CACGGGGGGGAGCAAGCGUUGUUCGGAAUCACUGGGCGUAAAGGGCGUGCAGGCGGUCAGGUAAGUGGGAUGUGAAAUGCCCCGGCUCACCCGGGGACCGGCAUCUCAUACUGCUUGGCUUGAGUACGGGAGAGGAUGUGGGAAUUCCUGGUGUAGCGGUGAAAUGCGUAGAUAUCAGGAGGAACACCGGUGGCGAAGGCGCACAUCUGGCCCGAUACUGACGCUGAGGCGCGAAAGCUAGGGGAGCAAACGGG
rnacentral:rRNA from 1 species